rnacentral:rRNA from 1 species
GUCCACGCCGUAAACGAUGGAUGCUAGCCGUCGGCAAGCUUGCUUGUCGGUGGCGCAGCUAACGCAUUAAGCAUCCCGCCUGGGGAGUACGGCCGCAAGGUUAAAACUCAAAGGAAUUGACGGGGGCCCGCACAAGCGGUGGAGCAUGUGGUUUAAUUCGACGCAACGCGAAGAACCUUACCAGCCCUUGACAUGUCCGGACGGUUUCCAGAGAUGGAUUCCUCCUAGCAAUAGGUCGGAACACAGGUGCUGCAUGGCUGUCGU